AGGAAGUAAGUGAACGCAGGGGGAAGGGGAGAGGAAGAAGAAAGUGAUGGUACAAAAAUAGCGUGUGUGUAGGAAGGACUUCGGUGCCGCCUGGAAAAGAGGAGCGGGGAGGAGAGGGAGCGAGAAGGGGGCUGUGGCGGGGAACCAGAGGGGAAGGGCCAGGGCCUUCCCAGGGAGGUGGGAGCCCCCUGGCCAGGUGUCUCGGUGGUGGAGGGCAGAUUGACGGGGUGGGGAGGCCCAGGCCGGGGCGUGUGUGGGAGAGCGGGUCCUGAAGGCCUGGGUUCCAGGAGAAGGACAGGCCCGGAAGAAGAUGAGGGGUGGGAGCCGGGGCCAGAGGCUUGGAGUUGGAGAGGACAGAAUCUCGGUUUUCCUGGAGGGAACGCCGUUCCUGUAGCAGCCAGAGGGCACAAUCUGUCAGCACAUCCUGCCUGCUGGGCCUUCUCAUCACAACCAGAGCCAAACCACUUCUCAGCACCUCCGCUGCUUCCGCCCUCGUCUGAGCCUCCACCGCUCUCACCUGGGCGCCCUAUUUCCACCUUGUGCCUUCUGUCGAUUCCUCGACUCAGCAGCCUGAGGAAUCCUUGCACAGAAGUCAGAUCACAUUCCUUCCCUGUUGUCAAGGGAAGAAGACAAAUGGGCACGAGGAGGAGAGGAUCAGGGGCUUGGAAGCCAAGAUUUUGCCGAUUUGACUUAUGCAACUUGGGCAAAACAAAAUGUUGAGCCUCAGUCUUUUCAUCUGUGAAAUGGGGAUAACAAACUCUGAUAUGAUGGGGUCAAUAGUGACAAAGAAGUGAAAGCAGCCAUGAUAGCAUGGCAGGGAGUUUGGCCGUUGCAGGGGGGUGGAUGACAUGCUUGUGUGUUCUAGGCCCUUUGAAAUACGUUAUCUGAAGCCUCAGCAACUCCACGGGGUUCCCAGAGGUGAGGAAACAUGCCCAGAGACAGAACACGACUUCACCAGGGCCACCCUGUGGGGCAUGCUGGCACCUGCACAGCCCAACUUCACCUGGUUCCAGCCCUGCCCGCGCUCUGCUCCCCACUUCCCGUAACCCUGGGCUGGCGUCAGCAGGCAGGACUGCCAGGAGGCUGGAGCUGCCAACGACCUAUUUUUCUGGGCAAGAAGAGCCAUUUGGAGUUAGAGGUCUCAGCUGUGGAGCCAGAACAAUAAAAAUAAAAACAGCGUGGACUCCUGGGCAGCCUGGACCAGGGAACCAACUGCCCCAAGAGUUGCUGCUCACCAGGCUGAAGAACAAGUGGGGUGGGGGGAUGGGAGAUGGGAGUGAUCUUACUGAGCCCCUGCUGUGUCCUCUGGCCCUUGCAGAGUAAGGGUAAUCUCCAAGGCUCACAACAGCCCCUUUCUCUGGGUUGCCAGACCAGUCAGGAUUUGAACUCAGUUUUCCAAACAAUUCCCAUCUGUUCGGCAUCCACUAUGCUUUACAGACUGUGACAUUCAUACCACACCUGGGAGGGUGAGCUAAUCAUUCCCUCAUUUUACAAAUGAGGCAGCUCUGCUCACACGCCACCUCCUUGAGAGGUCUUGCCAGACCACCCUGUUAAAGUAGUCACCCCCACCCCUGCCCAAUAUGCCCUACCCUCUUCCCUCCUUUAUUUUAUCUUCAUAGCAUGCAUCAUGACCUGCUAAUAUUGUGUGUCUCCACUGCAUAUUUUCUGUCUCCCUAACUAGUUCCAGGUCAGUUUAUCCUAGUGGCUUACACACUUCAGUGGUCUCUCAGACUAGCCCCGUAGGGCAAGUUGUUUUGAUGAUCUGUGCUUCCUUUGGGGUAAUGAUAGGACCUUGCCUGAAAGGGUUCUUGUGAGGGUUAAAUGAGUUAACAUAGGUUAAGCGUUGGCCAGUGCCAUUGUUUUGUCUUAGAGCUGCAGGCCCAGGCCCUUCAACAGUAAACAGUAGGUUGUCAAUAAAUAUGUAUUAAAUUU